UGAAAUGUAAAGUAUGUGCUGUGUGUGUACUGGAGACUACUGGAGUGUGCAGGAGGUUUUUGUACGGCUGCUUAAUCAGUCUGUAUCACUGUGGUACACUUUUGGUGGAGGAACCAGACUGGCUGUUGGAAGUGACAGGCGUCCCAGGCUGACGCUGCUUCCCCCCUCCAGUGUGGAGCUGCAGCAGGGGAAGGCCACCCUGGUGUGCCUGGCCACCAAGGGCUUCCCCUGGGACUGGAGGCUGAGCUGGAAGGUGUCCGGGAGCAGCUUGGAGGGGAGCCAGAGCCCUGCUCUCCUGGAGAAGGACGGCCUCUACAGCUGGAGCAGCAGCCUCACCCUCACCCAGGAGCAGUGGAGGAAGCAGCCAGCCGUCACCUGUGAGGCCACCCAGGGCACCCAGCAAGCCGUCACCCAGCACAUCAACACGGGGGACUGUGCCCACUAAAGGCGCAGCACACACACACGCUUACAGAGAGAUAGAGACAACACACACACACACACACACACACGCUUACAGAGAGAUAGAGACAGUACACACACACGCUUACAGAGACAGCACACACACGCUUACACACCGAGAGACACAGCCACAAACACAUGCUUACACAGAGAGAGGCAAAGCCUUGAACAUACACUGACAAAGUUAGAUAGAAAGAGUUUUGCUUUGUUGUUUUUGUUUUGCUCUUCUGAUCUGUGUGAAAAACUGUUGAAAAAUAAAGAAUCUGA